UACGUAGGGGGCAAGCGUUGUCCGGAUUUAUUGGGCGUAAAGAGCGUGUAGGCGGCUAGAUAGGUCCGUUGUGAAAACUGGAGGCUCAACCUCCAGACGUCGACGGAAACCGUAUGGCUAGAGUCCGGAAGAGGAGAGUGGAAUUCCUGGUGUAGCGGUGAAAUGCGCAGAUAUCAGGAAGAACACCAAUGGCGAAGGCAGCUCUCUGGGACGGUACUGACGCUGAGACGCGAAAGCGUGGGGAGCGAACAGG
rnacentral:rRNA from 1 species